rnacentral:lncRNA from 1 species
UUUUUACUAGUGAUAUCUUUAAUAACCAAUCAUAUCUCAAAACUAAAAUUCACAUAUCCAAUAACCAAUAACCGAUAACCAAUCACAUAUACAAUUACUAAUAACCAAUAACCAACCAAAAAGCUAACCUUCUUCAAGGGUUGAACAUGGAUAUCAUAGAAAGAGUGGAAGGAAAGAGUUUUCAAGUAAUGGAGAUCGGGCACAAGCAAUGGAGAGAAAAAGCAUUUUGUAUGCCACCACCAACAAGUGGGCAUAAGCAAUGGAGUGGGCACAAGCAAUGGACUAGGCACAAGCAAUGGAGAUUAUCCGUCAACUAGCAUACAAUAAACUACACCAUAAGUCAAUAAAAACAAAAUUUAAUCAGUGCAAAAAUAUAAUAGGUCUAAACAACAUUUAAUCAGUGCAAAAUAAUUUUAAAUGAUGUAAAGUGAAGAAAAUACAUACCUGUAAUGGCUAUGGUGAACGUGAACGGAAGAAGACAAAGCAGCGAGAGAAAACGCGUAAGUGAUGCUCGCGUUCUGGAGUUGGUGGAAAACAGGGUAUUUGACGUUGACCCCCCUCCUUGACUUCUAAUUGCUAUAAGAUGUUGGCCCUCCUUCCAAUCCAAU